GAUGAACGCUGGCGGCGUGCCUAAUACAUGCAAGUCGAGCGAACAGAUGAGGAGCUUGCUCCUCUGACGUUAGCGGCGGACGGGUGAGUAACACGUGGAUAACCUACCUAUAAGACUGGGAUAACUUCGGGAAACCGGAGCUAAUACCGGAUAAUAUAUUGAACCGCAUGGUUCAAUAGUUAUAGACGGUUUUGCUGUCACUUAUAGAUGGAUCCGCGCCGCAUUAGCUAGUUGGUAAGGUAACGGCUUACCAAGGCAACGAUGCGUAGCCGACCUGAGAGGGUGAUCGGCCACACUGGAACUGAGACACGGUCCAGACUCCUACGGGAGGCAGCAGUAGGGAAUCUUCCGCAAUGGGCGAAAGCCUGACGGAGCAACGCCGAGUGAGUGAUGAAGGUCUUCGGAUCGUAAAACUCUGUUAUUAGGGAAGAACAAAUGUGUAAGUAACUAUGCACGUCUUGACGGUACCUAAUCAGAAAGCCACGGCUAACUACGUG
rnacentral:rRNA from 1 species